AUUGAACGCUGGCGGCAGGCCUAACACAUGCAAGUCGAGCGGAGCGGCGGACGGGGGAGUAAUUCCUAGGAAUCUGCCUGGUUGGGGGGGAUAACGUCCGGAAACGGGCGCUAAUACCGCAUACUCUCAGAUGAGCCUAGGUCGGCAUAGCUAUUUGGUGGGGUAAAGGCCUACCAAGGCGCCGACCCGUAACUGGUCUGAGAGGAUGAUCAGUCACACUGGAACUGGGACACGGUCCAGACGCCUACGGGAGGCAGCAGUGGGGAAUAUUGGACAAGGGGCGGAAGCCUGAUCCAGCCAUGCCGCGUGGGUGAAGAAGGUCUUCGGAUUGUAAAGCACUUUAAGUUGGGAGGCGUUACCAACAGAAUAAGCACCGGCAAACAUCGUGCCAGCAGCCGCGGUAAUAC
rnacentral:rRNA from 1 species